CAGGAAUGAAUGUUCUAGGGUUGGAGCAGAGGGGGUUGGGCAGCAGUUGAGCAUAGGCAUGAAUUUAUAGAUUCAAGAUUUUCUUACACAUGGGGCUUAUUCUCCUAAUGUUUCUAGGUCGCUUUGGAGGCUGAUAUCAGGUGGCUACUCAUGUCUGGCUUGGUGCCUAUAUUUUAGAUGUUCCAUUAAUCUUGGCUACUUUUCUCAUCCGUUUUGGGCUUUAACCUUGAUCUAGAAGGUUGCAGCUUCUUUGUUCUCCUACUCAAGAUUUGUUCAUUGUUCAGUUCAAGCCAUGUUCCUCAGGUAUCUUCCUUUACAUUUUCUUUAAGUGAUGGUCAGUUGAUCUAGCCAAGGGCUUCUCUAUUGUUCAUGGUUUACUGGAAUAUGUUUUGCUUGGCUAACAAAAUAGUAGGCAUGUGUGUGAGAUUACUUCUCGGCAAAUCUAACAUAAGAUUCUAACUUUAAUUCCAAUUUGUUUUUAACUCUCAUAAGCUAUUUUUGUUGUUAAGUGUUGCUGGAAGUUUGAACUUGCAAAGAGAACAAUUGAAAACUUUACCACUACAAUUAUAUUUACCGACUAUAAUGGUAACUGGGGGAUAAGCAUCCUAAGACAUUUGUACCAAAAUCCUUGGGCGUGCCUAUAUGUUCUCUCUAUUUUAGAGUAUGAUGCCCUCAACAAUUGGAAGAAACAACAUGUAAAUCAAUUUAUAAUUAUAAAACCAUGUGAGUUGGAUCUCCAUUUUCAGUUGGCGGCUUUUCUUAAACAUUCAUACUUUUGAAAGCUUCUACAAGACUCUCCUUAGACCAUUCAGCACAUGUUCUGUAACCCAGAGCAAGUGCAUGGAUACCCUAUACUCCAACAAGAUAUUAUAAGAAUGCAACUAAAAGGAAAAUAACAUCUCUCCAGAAACAGAAUUUUCCUCAAAUCAUUUCUCGAGAUGCCCUCUAACUUAUGUUGCGUUUAUGACUGAAUCGUCUUUUCUUUAAGACUAGCAUGUUAUCAGCCUUUGGCAUCUUUAAUCUUCAAUGCAGAAGAUCAAGAUCAAAUUUGAUCGUAGCAAACACAAAUGAACACAAUAAAAAAGUUGAUGGUAAAAUUGUUCAUUGUCUGCCAUAUUAUAUUUGUUAUAAGUAAUAGUAGAAACUAGUAAUUAAUUCUAUAUAGAUUCAAUGAAGUAUGGAGAACAUGUGCUUGGGAGGGGAUUUGGAAAGAUUAGUUAUGGCGCGUUCUUGUUUUACUUAAUAGUCUUCGGUUUUAUAAUUCAUAGCUCUGUGUAGUGUGUACACACUAAUAAAGGAGGAUCACAUUUUGUUAUUCCUUCUUUAAAUAAUUAUGAGUGAGUUGCAUUCUAUUGGUUCACUAAACUAACCUUACUGAUUGUUUCCAUACAGAAAUAAACCCUUUUGGUCAUUGUAGAUGUGUACUGUUGUAACAAUGCAUGUUAGCUAUAGUUGUUAUAUAAUUCUUUUUAUAAAUCUUGACUGAAUCGAGAUAUCUUCUCCAGGAAAAUCAUUUUUUCUUCACUUCCAGGGCCAGCGUCACUCAACUUUGCUUGGAGCAUGCUUAUUUGUUUCUACAUUGCCUUUGCUUAAUAUUUUCUCUUGAUUUCCUAUGUGAUUGAGAUGCGUGCCUAUCUUGACUGUUCUAUUGUGUUGGAAAUUUCUCGCCACUGGCCCAUUAUAACUGCUAUUGGUCACGUACCUGGUGCACUUCUAAUUUUGAAUUGUGCUUGCUGAGUGCCCUCAUUUUGUUUACUACCUUCCGUUGGUGUAUAUGCAACUGUAUAGGUUUGUUGUUCAAUCUGGUUAUAGCUUUAUUCUCCUAUUUUCUUACUCAUUGCCACAUUGUCUUAGUUAUUACUCCCUCCGUUCCUAAAUAUGUCUUUCUAUAUAUUUCAAUAUGGACUACAUACGGAUGUAUAUAGAUGGUUAAUAAACCUCCUACAUGUUAUUGAAGAUUGGUCUCUUGCUCUUUUUUGCUUAUGAAUCAUACACUUCUCGUUUCUUCAGUACUUACACCUAGCUUUGGCCUCAUCCUUUGAUGGUUUGUGUAGUAAAAGUGGUGAUGAUGUUGCUUAAAGAGCCUCAACUUGCAGCAAAUAUAUGGGCAUGUGCAACUGCAACUUAUGUAGGCCAAUUUAUUCUCUAUUGUUUUUAUUUAGAAGUUUCUCCAUGAUGGUACUUUCAACCUGGAAACUUGAAAAAGAAUCAAGGCUUUUGUUCUAUGGGCAGCCCUCCGUCGAAUGAAGCUCCAACCCGAGCAAGGACAUGGUAGCAGGUGGUGUAUCUGUUUAAUGUGUGUUAGAAGAGGCGAGCGCUUGGUUGAUGUUGUAUGCACAUUCUGUAAAAUAGAUUUUUCAAUAAAGCUUUGACAAUUUGUUUGUUGUCAUCUCUUUUUCAAAUAGUAUAUCAUCUUCUGGUUGUUUAAUAUGUAUUGUAGAGUCGAUGACUAUCCAAACUAUUCUUUGUAAACCAACAAGAUUGUGAAUCGCUAACCACAUCUUCUAAGACAAUCAUGAAAUACUUUGUUGGGUCUA